GACGAACGCUGGCGGCGUGCUUAACACAUGCAAGUCGAACGCUGAAGCUCAGCUUUUGUUGGGUGGAUGAGUGGCGAACGGGUGAGUAACACGUGAGUAACCUGCCCCCUUCUUUGGGGUAACGCCCGGAAACGGGUGCUAAUACUGGAUAUUCACUGGUCUUCGCAUGGGGGCUGGUGGAAAGGGUUUUUCUGGUGGGGGAUGGGCUCGCGGCCUAUCAGCUUGUUGGUGGGGUGAUGGCCUACCAAGGCUUUGACGGGUAGCCGGCCUGAGAGGGUGACCGGUCACAUUGGGACUGAGAUACGGCCCAGACUCCUACGGGAGGCAGCAGUGGGGAAUAUUGCACAAUGGGCGCAAGCCUGAUGCAGCGACGCUGCGUGAGGGAUGGAGGCCUUCGGGUUGUGAACCUCUUUCGCUCAUGGUCAAGCCGCAACAAUGGUUGUGGUGAGGGUAGUGGGUAAAGAAGCGCCGGCUAACUACGUG
rnacentral:rRNA from 1 species